rnacentral:rRNA from 1 species
UACGUAGGGGGCUAGCGUUGUCCGGAUUUAUUGGGCGUAAAGAGCGUGUAGGCGGCCAUGUAGGUCCGGUGUGAAAACUCGAGGCUUAACCUCGAGAUGUCAUCGGAAACCAUUUGGCUAGAGUCCGGAAGAGGAGAGUGGAAUUCCUGGUGUAGCGGUGAAAUGCGCAGAUAUCAGGAAGAACACCAAUGGCGAAAGCAGCUCUCUGGGACGGUACUGACGCUGAGGAGCGAAAG